GACCCCGAAGACGUCCUCGUCUCCGCCGCCUCCGCGCCACCGGGCGGCGUUGCUAAUAAUGCUCCUCAGGUGCCGAACCAUGGUAGCGGCUGCUCCGCGCCACCGCGAGCCUCGUUAAGCCUACGCAGCCGUCGCUGUUGCCGGGGAGCGCGAUCCGAGCCGACCACCCGUGACGAUUGCGGGUAGACGGUUGUGCCUUGAGACUAUGCUUGUUUUUAUUGGAGUUGGAGCUUUUCCGAACAUGAUUGGGAGUAUUUUCCUGCUUCCAGAAGUGGCCUCAUUCUGCCAAAUUUGCCGAGUCACCAGGGAUGCAGCCAUUUUAGGGUUUUACUUUGUUCAAUGACAUAGCGAUGGCUUCAAGGUAUGUAUGAGGUUGUAAAUGUGGUGAUUUGCAUGUCUGGCGGAAGUUUUAAAACAGCCAAAUUGCUGAACGUGUCCUCACUCGUAUGUUACAGACUCCUUCAGAGAUGGAUACAAGAUGGAAUUGGUUUGAAUGGAAGACUUUUUUUUUGUGGAGCAGUUUAAAUUUGUAGAUUCCCAUGCAGUAGGUUCUCUGGACUCCUAGACCUCCAAUGAUUUUUGUAUAGAUAGGCCAUGACCGUUUGUUAAUGGGACUUUGCCACCUGUGAUAGGAUGGUAUUCCUAUGAUCCUAUCGCGCUGUGACGAACUGUUGAGCAUGCGAGGUAUCUGGUAGGAUAGGCACCGGUGGCCUUGCUAGGGUUGGGGCUCUAUUGAAAUUUUAGAAUUCAUGCUUCA